rnacentral:rRNA from 1 species
GAAUGGCUCAUUAAAUCAGCUAUGGUUUAUUGGAUCGUACUCGUUAAAUGGAUAACUGUAAUAACUCUAGAGCUAAUACAUGCUUCGAUGCCCUGACCCUGUUCGCUUAUCUAUCCAUCUAUCUGUCUGUUUGUCUGCUUGCUUAAUGUAGCUGGCGGUCAGUUGCAGUGGUGGGUAGUAGCAUAGCAGGGGAUGGGUGCACUUAUUAGAUCAGAAGCCAACCAACUGCUUGCACGUGCGUAGCGUACGUAGGCGACGACGACCGUUGUUGCUUAUUGUAUACAUGUGUGCGUGGAGGCGUUGAGAGGAGAAGACCGCUUCUGGUGACUCUGGAUAAUUGUUACAGAUCGCAGUCGGCCUUGAGUCGGCGACGGGUCCUUCAAAUGUCUGCCCUAUCAACUGUCGAUGGUAGGUGACCUGCCUACCAUGGUGAUAACGGGUAACGGGGAAUCAGGGUUCGAUUCCGGAGAGGGAGCCUGAGAAACGGCUACCACUUCCAAGGGAGGCAGCAGGCGCGCAAAUUACCCACUCCCGGCACGGGGAGGUGGUGACGAAAAAUACCGAUGCGGGACUCCUUUAAGAGGCUCCGUAAUCGGAAUGAGUGGACUCUAAAUCCUUUCACGAGGAUCAAUUGGAGGGCAAGUCUGGUGCCAGCAGCCGCGGUAACUCCAGCUCCAAUAGCGUAUAUUAAAGUUGCUGCAGUUAAAAAGCUCGUAGUUGGAUCUCGGUGGCAUUGUUGCCUGUUGGUAAUUGAGCGGUCGGUGUGUGGUCGAUGAUGGCAAUGAUGCACGGCAGUCUUGCUGCCGGCAGUAGCACAUAGCCUGCUGCAUGUGUGCAUGUAGUGGCGGUAGUAGUAGUAGUGGUGGUGGUGGUGGUGGCGGUGGUGGUACGUAGUCGCCAGGCGCGCCUCUUAGUGUGUGUGUGGGUGUAUGCAUGCCAUUGCUGCUGCUCUGCUGCUGUUGCUGCUGCUGCUGCUGCUGCUGCUUCUGCAUAGACAGUUAGGGUGUGUGUGCUGGUGCAUGUGCUUGUGAGGAUGUAUCUUGUGGGUCAUGUCGUCUACGCCAUAAAGAAGCACUGUCGUGUCAAGCCGACGAGGUGAUGGUGUCGCCUUUAAGCCAUGUCUGUGGUGUGACAGCCGCAGGUGUGGACGGGUGGUGGGCGGUGCUCUGCACACGUUGUGGGGCCUGUCGGCUCGUCUGCAUGCCUUUGGAUGCCCUUGAAUGAGGUGUCUGUAGGCGGAUGGCACGUUUACUUUGAACAAAUUUGAGUGCUCAAAUCAGGCCGAUGUUGCCUGAAAAGUUUUGCAUGGAAUAAUGGAAUAGGACUUCGGUUCUAUUUCGUUGGUUUUCGGAUCCGAAGUAAUGAUCAAAAGAGACAGGCGGGGACGUUUGUAUGGCUGCGCUAGAGGUGAAAUUCAUGGACCGUAGCCAGACAAACUAAAGCGAAAGCAUUCGUCAAGCAUGUUUUCAUUGGCCAUGAGCGAAAGUCAGAGGCUCGAAGACGAUCAGAUACCGUCCUAGUUCUGACCAUAAACGAUGCCAACUGACGAUCCGUGGUGGUAGUAGCAUUACCUUCCCCACGGGCAGUCCCCGGGAAACCUUUAAGUGUUUGGGUUCCGGGGGAAGUAUGGUUGCAAAGCUGAAACUUAAAGGAAUUGACGGAAGGGCACCACCAGGAGUGGAGCCUGCGGCUUAAUUUGACUCAACACGGGAAAACUCACCCGGGCCGGACACUAUGAGGAUUGACAGAUUGAGAGCUCUUUCUUGAUUUGGUGGUUGGUGGUGCAUGGCCGUUCUUAGUUGGUGGAGCGAUUUGUCUGGUUAAUUCCGAUAACGAACGAGACUCCAGCCUGCUAAUUAGUGCAUUUGUCCACUACACCUGUGAAGGUGGCGUUGGAUAAUAUCACUUGCCACGGGUGGAUAGGCCUUACUCGCUCAUUCUUGCCCGUCUAUUCUCCGCCUUCGCCUCUGCCUGUGCCUCCUCCUCCUCCUCCUCCUCCUGGAUGGAUGGAUGGAUGGAUGGAUGGAUGGAAGGGUGGAUGGUAUGGGUGGAUGGUAUGGUAUGGUAUGGGAUGGGAUGGGUGGGGCAUGACGCUUGUGGUAAUGUUAGUCUGGUGCCAGCCUCCGGGUGUGGCGCGAAUGCCUACUUCUUAGAGGGACAAGCGGGAGAAGCCGCACGAAAUAGAGCAAUAACAGGUCUGUGAUGCCCUUAGAUGUCCGGGGCCGCACGCGCGCUACAAUGACGGUGUCAACGAGUUAGACCUUCUGGCCCGAAAGGGUUGGGCAAACUGGUCAAUCACCGUCGUGACAGGGAUCGGGGCUUGGAAUUGUUCCCCGUGAACGAGGAAUUCCUAGUAAGUGCAAGUCAUAAGCUUGCGCUGAUUACGUCCCUGCCCUUUGUACACACCGCCCGUCGCUACUACCGAUUGAAUGGUUUAGUAAGGUCCUUGGAUUGGCGUCAUUGUGGCGGUGGCUGAGAGGUCACGGCCCGACAGGCGCUGAGAAGACGACC